rnacentral:misc_RNA from 1 species
CCUACGGGGGGCAGCAGUGGGGAAUCUUGCGCAAUGGGCGGAAGCCUGACGCAGCGACGCCGCGUGGGGGAUGAAGGCCUUCGGGUUGUAAACCUCUUUCAGCAGGGACGAAGGUGACGUGUACCUGCAGAAGAAGCGCCGGCUAACUACGUGCCAGCAGCCGCGGUAAUACGUAGGGCGCGAGCGUUGUCCGGAAUUAUUGGGCGUAAAGAGCUCGUAGGCGGCUGGUCGCGUCUGCCGUGAAAGGCCUGGGCUUAACUUGGGUUUUGCGGUGGAUACGGGCCGGCUAGAGGUAGGUAGGGGAGAACGGAAUUCCUGGUGUAGCGGUGAAAUGCGCAGAUAUCAGGAGGAACACCGGUGGCGAAGGCGGUUCUCUGGGCCUAUCCUGACGCUGAGGAGCGAAAGCGUGGGGAGCGAACAGGAUUAGAUACCCCUGUAGUC